CCCUGCCGUGCCCCAUGGCUAUGGCCCAUAGCGAUUGUAGUUUUCAAAGUUUCAAGUGUUUAAGUUGUGUUUUUUUUUUUAAUAAUUUGAGGUUUUAUCGAAGUAUCGUAUGUUUUGAAGUCGGAUUUGAGUGUAUAAAAGAUUGUUUAUUGUUAUACGUUCUACCGUGCCAGCCCCGUGCACCCUUGUAAGGUGCUUGUAACUUAAGCCUACCACUUUCAAAAGAACCAGCGCAGAACCAUGGCUGUCUCGCGCACGUAGGGAUGAAGGGUGAUGGUGGGGAAGGGCCUGGAGCUGUGGUGGGGAUAAGUCGUUGGGCGAGGUGUCUUUCCCCACCACUCUGACUCUCCUGCUGUCCUGCAUGCACAACUCAAACAGGGUCAUUGAUUGAGGUGCUGGUGAACUGAUUGAAGACUUAAAAAUGUUUUGCUAUUAGUGUGAGAUGUGAUAGUACAGACUGUUGUGAUAAAUUACCACUGUUUAUGAUUUACUUUAUACGUUUUAAAAUAAAUGUUCUACAU